AGAAAAAAAAAAAAAAAGAAAGAUUGACCUCAUAGUUCAUGAGCUGCACAUUCUGGUAGUGGAAAAUGUCUAGCAUUAUAUUGGGAUUUGGUAUUGGCAUUCCCCUUUAAUUAUUUUGUAGGUUUAGCCAGCAUCUUGCGAUUGGUUAUAGGUAUUGAUGCUUCUACUUUCAUGAAUCUCAUUCUUUGUACAUGUUACUACUUUUAGAAUUACAGCGGUGAAUUUUCACUACUUGGUGCUUUGUAUGUAGAGAACAUUAUGUAUUAAACUGAUUGAUAUAGAACGUAAUGUACAUUUAAAAAUAAGGGAGA
rnacentral:misc_RNA from 1 species